rnacentral:lncRNA from 1 species
AAAACUCGAUUUGGACCGAUUAAACGGUGGGAAUGGUGGUUUAAUCGAGAGAAUUCGAAGAACUAACAAUGGAAAGGGGUUUGUUCGGUGAAAUCGAAGUAAAAAGUGAAAAUGAUUAAGAAAACCUGAGUUUAAAUGAGGAUGUUCGGUGGAAAAGAUGAACCCACGAGAAGGAACAAAGAUCUGAGAAGAGGAAAAUGAUUUUGUGAAGGAGAUAAACCUGACAAGGGCUCGCGAUGAUGGAGACGAAAAUGAUGAAGAAAACCUAAGUUUAAAUGAGGAUGUUCGGUGGAAAAGAUGAACCGACGAGAAGGAACGAAGAUUUAAGAAGAGGAAAAUGAUUUCGUGAUAGAGAUAAACCUAACAAGGGCUCGCGAUGAUGGAGACGGAGAAAAUGAGAGGUGUGGCUCGCGAGAAUGUUUUGAAUGAGCGAAAAUGAAGUUUCCUGAUGCGCGAAUGAAAAUAGAUGCGGUUGAUGACUCUGUUGAAGCGUUGACGCAUGCGUUGAAGUGGUGGCAGAAGAUGAAUGGUGCAGCGUCGAGGAGUGAGAAAGCUAUGGAAGCACGAUGGAAUUUUAAGGAAAAUGGAAAAUAAAGGUAAUGUGCCUUGGAAGGUGGCUAGAGGAAGUCUUUGGACUCUCUAGCCUAUGACUUUCAAGAGAGAAUUAUUUUCUGAUUCAGAAAUGCUAAUUCUCAUUAAUCUCAAAAGUAAGGAAUACAAGAGAGGAGCUGGGUAUUUAUAGUAACCCAUGCUCCUUGCGAGCUACACUACGCG